rnacentral:rRNA from 1 species
GUUGAAAACCGUCCUGUAUUGGAGCAGGCUCAUGAGAUAAUAUGCAUUGUUAAGGAACUUGAGCUUCUCAAGUGCGAGUUACCGGGCAAGUUUGUCGCGGGCUGCAUAAUCGCUAAGCUCCCUAAUUCCUGGAGGAACUUUGCCACCACUCUGAAACAUCAGAGGCGUGAAUUUUCUGUGGAGGAUGUCAUUGGUCAUCUGAGUGUUGAGCAGAAUUCGAGGGCAAAAGACUCGCACGGAAAAGGGGCCAAAGGGACUUUUGUUGCCAACAUGGUGAACCAGAAGAACUUCAACUCCCACAAGCCCAAGGGAAAGAACGGUGUCCAACACAAUACCGACUUUAAAAAGAAGGGUAAGAAGACCUUCAAGAAGAACAAGAAGGACGAGGGCUGCUUUACUUGUGGUUCGGUUGAACAUUGGGCCAACAAGUGCCCAAACAAGUACAAGAAGUCAGGACAGGAAUCCAAGUCUAUCAACAUGAUUGUGGGCAACAAUGAGAAUGGUGCAUCUGGGUACAGUAAUUUAUUUACUGUUUUUUCAGUGUUUCAACCCAACGAUUGGUGGGUGGACACAGGUGCAGGUGUUCAUGUGUGUGCUGACAUUUCAUUGUUCACUUCUUACCAGGUCACAGGUCACGGAUCCGUAUUGAUGGGGAAUGGCGUGAGUGCUUCUGUUCAUGGUGUUGGCACGGUCGAUCUGAAGUUUACUUCGGGAAGGAUCGUGCAGCUGAAGAACGUGCAGCAUGUCCCCGCCAUCAAGAAGAACCUCGUUAGUGGCUCCCUUCUAUGUAGAGAAGGGUUUAAGUUGGUUUUCGAGUCUAAUAAAUUAGUUGUUACAAAAUAUGGA